rnacentral:rRNA from 1 species
AGAGUUUGAUCCUGGCUCAGAACGAACGCUGGCGGCGUGGAUAAGACAUGCAAGUCGAACGAGAGAAUUGCUAGCUUGCUAAUAAUUCUCUAGUGGCGCACGGGUGAGUAACACGUGAGUAACCUGCCCCCGAGAGCGGGAUAGUCCUGGGAAACUGGGAUUAAUACCGCAUAGAAUCGCAAGAUUAAAGUAGCAAUGCGCUUGGGGAUGGGCUCGCGGCCUAUAAGUUAGUUGGUGAGGUAACGGCUCACCAAGGCGAUGACGGGUAGCCGGUCUGAGAGGAUGUCCGGCCACACUGGAACUGAGACACGGUCCAGACACCUACGGGUGGCAGCAGUCGAGAAUCAUUCACAAUGGGGGAAACCCUGAUGGUGCGACGCCGCGUGGGGGAAUGAAGGUCUUCGGAUUGUAAACCCCUGUCAUGUGGGAGCAAAUUAAAAAGAUAGUACCACAAGAGGAAGAGACGGCUAACUCUGUGCCAGCAGCCGCGGUAAUACAGAGGUCUCAAGCGUUGUUCGGAAUCACUGGGCGUAAAGCGUGCGUAGGCUGUUUCGUAAGUCGUGUGUGAAAGGCGCGGGCUCAACCCGCGGACGGCACAUGAUACUGCGAGACUAGAGUAAUGGAGGGGGAACCGGAAUUCUCGGUGUAGCAGUGAAAUGCGUAGAUAUCGAGAGGAACACUCGUGGCGAAGGCGGGUUCCUGGACAUUAACUGACGCUGAGGCACGAAGGCCAGGGGAGCGAAAGGGAUUAGAUACCCCUGUAGUCCUGGCAGUAAACGGUGCACGCUUGGUGUGCGGGGAAUCGACCCCCUGCGUGCCGGAGCUAACGCGUUAAGCGUGCCGCCUGGGGAGUACGGUCGCAAGAUUAAAACUCAAAGAAAUUGACGGGGACCCGCACAAGCGGUGGAGUAUGUGGCUUAAUUCGAUGCAACGCGAAGAACCUUACCUGGGCUUGACAUGUAAUGAACAACAUGUGAAAGCAUGCGACUCUUCGGAGGCGUUACACAGGUGCUGCAUGGCCGUCGUCAGCUCGUGUCGUGAGAUGUUUGGUUAAGUCCAGCAACGAGCGCAACCCCUGUUGCCAGUUACCAGCACGUGAAGGUGGGGACUCUGGCGAGACUGCCCAGAUCAACUGGGAGGAAGGUGGGGACGACGUCAGGUCAGUAUGGCCCUUAUGCCCAGGGCUGCACACGUACUACAAUGCCCAGUACAGAGGGGGCCGAAGCCGCGAGGCGGAGGAAAUCCUAAAAACUGGGCCCAGUUCGGACUGUAGGCUGCAACCCGCCUACACGAAGCCGGAAUCGCUAGUAAUGGCGCAUCAGCUACGGCGCCGUGAAUACGUUCCCGGGUCUUGCACACACCGCCCGUCA